rnacentral:rRNA from 1 species
ACGCUCGACACCUACGGGAGGCAGCAGUUGGGAAUAUUGGACAAUGGAGGAAACUCUGAUCCAGUGACGCCGCGUGAAGGAAGAAGGUCUUCGGAUUGUAAACUUAUUUUGUCAGGGAAGAAAAAAUGACUGUACCUGAAGAAAAAGCACCGGCUAACUACGUGCCGANAGCCGCGGUAAUCUGAGCGGGCUGGCAAGGC